rnacentral:rRNA from 2 species
CAGUGUACCCGCGGCAAGACGGAAAGACCCCGUGAACCUUUACUAUAGCUUGACACUGAACAUUGAGCCUUGAUGUGUAGGAUAGGUGGGAGGCUUUGAAGCGUGGACGCCAGUCUGCGUGGAGCCGACCUUGAAAUACCACCCUUUAAUGUUUGAUGUUCUAACGUGGAUCCGUAAUCCGGGUUGCGGACAGUGUCUGGUGGGUAGUUUGACUGGGGCGGUCUCCUCCUAAAGAGUAACGGAGGAGCACGAAGGUUGGCUAAUCCUGGUCGGACAUCAGGAGGUUAGUGCAAUGGCAUAAGCCAGCUUGACUGCGAGCGUGACGGCGCGAGCAGGUGCGAAAGCAGGUCAUAGUGAUCCGGUGGUUCUGAAUGGAAGGGCCAUCGCUCAACGGAUAAAAGGUACUCCGGGGAUAACAGGCUGAUACCGCCCAAGAGUUCAUAUCGACGGCGGUGUUUGGCACCUCGAUGUCGGCUCAUCACAUCCUGGGGCUGAAGUAGGUCCCAAGGGUAUGGCUGUUCGCCAUUUAAAGUGGUACGCGAGCUGGGUUUAGAACGUCGUGAGACAGUUCGGUCCCUAUCUGCCGUGGGCGCUGGAGAACUGAGGGGGGCUGCUCCUAGUACGAGAGGACCGGAGUGGACGCAUCACUGGUGUUCGGGUUGUCAUGCCAAUGGCACUGCCCGGUAGCUAAAUGCGGAAGAGAUAAGUGCUGAAAGCAUCUAAGCACGAAACUUGCCCCGAGAUGAGUUCUCCCUGAGACUUAGAGUCUCCUGAAGGAACGUUGAAGACGACGACGUUGAUAGGCCGGGUGUGUAAGCGCAGCGAUGCGUUGAGCUAACCGGUACUAAUGAACCGUGAGGCUUAACCUUACAACGCCGAAG